rnacentral:rRNA from 1 species
CGACAGCAAUAUGAAGGUCAGGCUGAAGACCUUACCCGAUUAGCUGAGAGGUGGUGCAUGGCCGUCGUCAGUUCGUACUGUGAAGCAUCCUGUUAAGCAGGCAACGAGCGAGACCCACGUCCACAGUUGCCAGCAUACCCUCCGGGGUGAUGGGUACACUGUGGAGACCGCCGCUGCUAAAGCGGAGGAAGGAGUGGGCAACGGUAGGUCAGUAUGCCCCGAAUCUCCCGGGCUACACGCGGGCUACAAUGGUUGGUACAAUGGGCAUCUACCCCGAAAGGGGAAGGAAAUCUCUUAAAGCCAAUCGUAGUUCGGAUUGAGGGCUGCAACUCGCCCUCAUGAAGCUGGAAUCCGUAGUAAUCGCGUUUCAACAGAACGCGGUGAAUACGUCCCUGCUCCUU